rnacentral:rRNA from 1 species
UACGUAGGGUCCGAGCGUUGUCCGGAAUUACUGGGCGUAAAGCGCGCGCAGGCGGCCCGCGAGGUGUCACGUGAAAGCCCCGGGCUCAACCCGGGAGGGUCGUAGCAAACCGGCGGGCUUGAGGCCGGUAGAGGUGGGUGGAACUCCUGGUGGAGUGGUGAAAUGCGUAGAUAUUGGGAAGAACACCGGUGGCGAAGGCGGCGACCUGGUCCUUGACUGACGCUGAGGCGCGAAAGCGUGGGGAGCAAACAGG